UACGUAGGGGGCAAGCGUUGUCCGGAUUUACUGGGCGUAAAGCGCGUGUAGGCGGCCACGCAGGUCCGUUGUGAAAACUGGAGGCUCAACUUCCAGACGUCGACGGAAACCGUGUGGCUAGAGUCCGGAAGAGGAGAGUGGAAUUCCUGGUGUAGCGGUGAAAUGCGCAGAUAUCAGGAAGAACACCAAUGGCGAAGGCAGCUCUCUGGGACGGUACUGACGCUGAGACGCGAAAGCGUGGGGAGCGAACAGG
rnacentral:rRNA from 1 species